GAAGGGCUGUUUAGUUCAGUGGUAGAGCGUCUGCUUUGCUUGCAGAAGGUCCAAGGUUUAAUCCCCAGCAUUCUUCA